rnacentral:misc_RNA from 1 species
GAAAUGCGAUAAUUAAUGUGAAUUGCAGAAUUCAGUGAAUCAUCGAGUCUUUGAACGCACAUUGCGCCCCCUGGUAUUCCGGGGGGCAUGCCUGUCCGAGCGUCAUUGAUGCCCUCAAGCACGGCUUGUGUGUUGGGCUUCCGUCCCUGGCAACGGGGACGGGCCCAAAAGGCAGUGGCGGCACCAUGUCUGGUCCUCGAGCGUAUGGGGCUUUGUCACCCGCUCCCGUAGGUCCAGCUGGCAGCUAGCCUCGCAACCAAUCUUUUUAACCAGGUUGACCUCGGAUCAGGUAGGGAUACCCGCUGAACUUAAGC